AAUCUUAUCUGAUUACUCCUAUCCAUUUAAGUUGUACACAAGAUUACACAUGAUAACAAAAUCUAAAUUACCAAUGAGUUUUAACAACUAAAAUCAACUCUAUAUAAAGCUGUGAGUGUCAAAAGAAAUGUCAGAAGUAAAGCUUGUUAGCUCAUCUACUUAAAUGGCUGUGAAAUCAGCAAGCAUAAUGACCAUGGUGAUGGUGGUGAUGGUGCUGAUGCUUGCGGAAACUGCAAAGUCUGACGGUUGUGACGAUUGUAAUCGAAAGUGUGCCAAGAAAUGCUACAUCAGAGGACAAUGGGACUUUGAAUGCUUAAACCAUUGUGUAACCAAGUGUUUUCAAAGUCCUGUAUGUAAUGGUACUCACUCGCUUCCUGCAGGUGUUGAUCGAGAUGGAAACAGAGGUUCUGGUGGAAUAUUACAGGGAAUAAAUUAGAGUACGAUGAUACGAUAACUUGGUGUUGGAAGUAUGUGUGUGACAGAGCUCUGAAUUGUUACAUGUAUCAGUUAUUCAGUUUAAUAAUGGAACAUGCCUGAGUUCAGUUGUUGUUUUA